CCUACGGGUGGCAGCAGUGAGGAAUAGUGGGCAAUGGACGAGAGCCUGAACCAGCAAAGGAGCGUGAAGGAUGAAUGCCCUAUGGGUGGUAAACUUCUUUUAUAUGGGAAUAAAAUGCUCCACGUGUGGGAUUUUGUAUGUACCCUAUGAAUAAGGAUCGGCUAACUCCGUGCCAGCAGCCGCGGUAAUACGGAGGGUCCGUGCGUUAUCCUGAUUUAUUGGGUUUAGAGGGAGCGUAGGUGGAUUGUUAAGUCAGUUGUGAAAGUUUGCGGCUCAACCGUACAAUUGCAGUUGAAACUGGCAGUCUUGAGUACAGUAGAGGUGGGCGGAAUUCGUGGUGUAGCGGUGAAAUGCUUAGAUAUCACGAAGAACUCCGAUUGCGAAGGCAGUUCACUGGACUGCAACUGACACUGAGGCUCGAAAGUGUGGGUAUCAAACAGGAUUAGAUACCCGUGUAGUC
rnacentral:rRNA from 1 species